AUUCAACAUUUUGCGUCUCCUCUAAAACACAACAGCCUUGUGCAGUGGUUUCACAUCACCUGCCCCAUGCAAGCUAUUAAAUACUGUCCUGAACAUGAACAUUGGGCAGCAGCAGCCAGCUAAGGAAGAGCAAGGGAAAUUCAAUAAAACUCCUCCGCCAUACAAAUAAAGCCAUACAUUCCCCUGGACCUGGGAGUGAAACCAAUGUGAGGAAAAAUGACUGCAGCACCGGGAACCGGCACAAAGGAAGCGAAGGAGGCUGAAGAAGGAGAGCGGGCGAGAGAGAGGAGACCGAAAGCCGGGCCUGUGUGUGUCUUAUAAAACGGAAGGGACCAUACUGCUCCAGUGCCUUGCCCAUGUCUGCUUUGCGGUUGGAGCUCAUCAGGCAGACAGGACAGACCGCAAGUAAAUCAGCGCCUGGGUUCUAGGCCCGAUUUCCCCUGGGGUCUCCAGCUUAGGCCGCUUUCAGAUGGGAAAUCCAAGGAACUCGGCGAAUGUCCUGAGCGGCAGUGGUGUUGGAGGGAAUUAGCACAAUGCUGACUGGCCAAACAACCUGGCUGUCCAGCUCCAUUAGAACAGCGACCCCACAAAGAGCCUGUGAGAUGCCCACCAUUGUGGAUGAUGACGCAGCUGAGGAGUUCAAGAAUAACCGAGUGCCCGGCCACUUCUUUUCUGGGAGAUGGAGGGGAGUGCCUGGAUAUGCAAGGACUGUUGGAGAAGCAUUCCAGGUGGCUACAUCUGGAAGCUGGUUGAGGGAAUUCCAAGAGACUGCAAUGCUGUCAUCUAAACAAAAGGGGGUGGAUGUUAUUUCAUUGCCUCGAGGCCUUUUACUCUAAGGUGAGUAACAGAGCUAAAAUAGAGACUAAUGCAUUAAAAGCAGGUGUGUCUAGACUUUUGAUUGGUACUGGUAUGAUUUUUU